rnacentral:rRNA from 1 species
AUUCUGUGGUAAGAGAAGAAAGAUAUAAAGAGGAAAUGCUUUGUAUUUGACGGUAUCUUGCUAGAAAGCCACGGCUAACUACGUGCCAGCAGCCGCGGUAAUACGUAGGUGGCAAGCGUUAUCCGGAAUUACUGGGCGUAAAGAGUGAGCAGGCGGUUAGAUAAGUCUAUGGUUAAAUGCAACAGCUCAACUGUUGUUCGCUAUAGAAACUAUUUAACUAGAGUGCGGGAGAGGUAAGUGGAACUCCAUAUGUAGCGGUGGAAUGCUUAGAUAUAUGGAAGAACACCAGAGGCGAAGGCGGCUUACCAGUCCGUAACUGACGCUCAGUCACGAAAGCGUGGGGAGCAAAUAGGAUUAGAUAUCCUAGUAGUCCACGCCGUAAACGAUGAGAACCUGAUGCAGGAGAUAUUCUGUGUCGAAGCUAACGCGUUAAGUUCUCCGCCUGGGUACUACGUUCGCAAGAAUAAAACUUAAAGGAAUUGACGGGCGCCCGCACAAGCAGUGGAGCAUGGGGUUUAAUUCGUCGAUACACGAAAAACCUUACCAGGGCUUGACAUCCCGCUAAAAGCCUUAGAAAUAAGGAAAUAGUUAUAGCGGUGACAGGUGGUGCAUGGUUGUCGUCAGCUCGUGCCGUGAGGUGUUAGGUUAAGUCCUCAAACGAGCGCAACCCUUGUCUUUAGUUGCCAUUAUUAAUUUAGGAACUCUAGAGAGACUGCCGGCGCAAGCCGGAGGAAGGCGGGGAUGACGUCAAAUCAUCAUGCCCUUUAUGCCCUGGGCCACACCCGUGCUACAAUGGUCGGUACAAAGAGAAGCAACACUGUGAGGUGAAGCAAAUCCCAUAAAGCCGAUCUCAAUUCGGAUUGAAGUCUGCAACUCGACUUCAUGAAGCUGGAAUUGCUAGUAAUCGCAGAUCAGCAACGCUGCGGUGAAUACGUUCUCGGGCGUUGUACACACUGCCCGUCACACCAUGAGAGCCGGUAAUACUCGAAGUCGUUAGCCUAACCGUAAGGAGGGCGGCGCCUAAGGUAGGACUGGUGAUUGGGGUUAAGUCGUAACAAGGUAUCCCUACGAGAACGUGGGGAUG